rnacentral:rRNA from 1 species
AGCGAACGCUGGCGGCAGGCCUAACACAUGCAAGUCGAACGAACUCUUCGGAGUUAGUGGCGGACGGGUGAGUAACACGUGGGAACGUGCCUUUUGGUUCGGAAUAACUCAGGGAAACUUGUGCUAAUACCGAAUGUGCCCUUCGGGGGAAAGAUUUAUCGCCAUUAGAGCGGCCCGCGUCUGAUUAGCUAGUUGGUGAGGUAACGGCUCACCAAGGCGACGAUCAGUAGCUGGUCUGAGAGGAUGACCAGCCACACUGGGACUGAGACACGGCCCAGACUCCUACGGGAGGCAGCAGUGGGGAAUCUUGCGCAAUGGGCGAAGGCCUGACGCAGCCAUGCCGCGUGAAUGAUGAAGGUCUUAGGAUUGUAAAAUUCUUUCACCGGGGACGAUAAUGACGGUACCCGGAGAAGAAGCCCCGGCCAACUUCGUG